rnacentral:rRNA from 1 species
AGAUUGAACGCUGGCGGCAUGCCUUACACAUGCAAGUCGAACGGCAGCACGGGAGCAAUCCUGGUGGCGAGUGGCGAACGGGUGAGUAAUACAUCGGAACGUGCCCAAUCGUGGGGGAUAACGCAGCGAAAGCCGUGCUAAUACCGCAUAAGAUCUACGGAUGAAAGCAGGGGAUCGCAAGACCUUGCGCGAAUGGAGCGGCCGAUGGCAGAUUAGGUAGUUGGUGAGGUAAAGGCUCACCAAGCCUUCGAU